CAUUCUAUUUCUGCGCAUAUUAAUUUUCUUUUAUUUUCUUUCCUUUUUUUCAUCUCUAGGGUUUCCAUGAUGGCUUCUGAAAAAGAAAAUAAAUAUUCUACACCAAUAUGAUAUUUAUCAUUUUAGCUGUGUCUUGUUCUGGAUGAAAUUAUUUCUAAAUGUGUUGAUAUAAUUUACUAUUUUUCACAUCAGUAUAGUUUCCUAAUUCAUUUCUAUAGUUGCCUGUAUCUUCUCUAAUGAACUGUUUGAUUUUCAUUCCUCUGGGGUGGUUUUCCUCUCACACACCUGAUCUUCCUUAGGGUUUCUCAGGGCUGACUCAGGAAUGAAAACUGAUGAGGGUAUUGCUGUAGCCGCUCCUGCCCUGCAGUGUCCACGCUCCCAAGCUUAGAAUCAGCUCCUUGUUGUGCCCGGCACAGCGGGGCCGUUGUGAGCCUCACACUCAUGGAUGAAAGAUGCCCAGUCCAACGAUAAUAAAGUGUGUGUGUGUGUUAUGCGCACCUGGGAAAGGUGGCUCAGAGCUGAGUGUGGCCUGAGUCACUGAGCUGAGCUAUUUCAGGGCCCGUCCACAAACACAGAAGAGAGGGAGCCACAGUCUCUCCAUGGUGGAACAGUUUCCUAAACUUCUUUCUUUGUUCUGAGAGAGAGAAAGACAAAGUGCCAUGACUGCUCUGUGGGCUGGACAGAUGCAUGUUUUCACCUGCAGGCUUGAAUCCAAGCUGAGGUCUUGAGCAUUCCCAGCUACUGAUAAAGCACCUUAGGUUAUUUCUAGAAAACACUGAAAAUUUAACCCUUUUGCUAAUGAUGUAGAAACAAGCCCUGCCCUGAACAAAAUUCCUGAAACUCUCAGGUUAAACUUCAUAACCCCAGUCCCUUCACUGCAGACACCCAAUAGGCAAGCCACAGUUCCAAGGAUGAGAUGACUCAUUUUUAAAAAGGGGAAGUUGAGAUGGGAACUAUUUGGUUGAAAGAAAACCUAAAAUCCAGCGCCAAGAAAGAAGUCAACUUUCCUUCCCCUGUUUCCCUGCAUUUCUCUUCUGUGCUCACGGCCACAGGCAGCUCAGCCUGGACCGCACAGACAGAUGUGAGAUGCAUCUCUGCUGAUCUGAGCCUGCCUGCAGCAUGGACCUGCAUCUUCCCUGAAGCAUUUCCAGGGCUGAAGAGACAACUGCCAGACACCGAGGGCUCAUCCAUCCGCAGAGCAGGGCGGUGGGAGGAGACGCCAUGACCCCCAUCCUCAUGGUCCUGAUCUAUGUCGAGCUGAAUCUGGGCCCCAGGACCCAUGUGCAGGCAGGUGAGUCUGUCCCCAGCUGGCCCAGGUCCUUCUCCUCACUGGGGACAAGGCCCACCCCCGUGCAGCUGGGGAGGGGAAUAGCAGUUCUGGGCUGACUGAUGGGGGUCUGGAGGGUCCUGUGGCUGAGAGCUGACAUCUGUUGGGUUGGGUGGAAAUGACUUAGAAUCUGACCUCUGCUUUCCUGCCAGGGACCCUCCCCAAGCCCAUGCUUUGGGCUGAGCCAGGCUCUGUGAUCACCCAGGGGAGUCCC
rnacentral:lncRNA from 1 species